GCAUCGAUGAAGAACGCAGCGAAACGCGAUAGGUAAUGCGAAUUGCAGAAUUCCGUGAAUCAUCGAAUCUUUGAACGCACCUUGCGCUCCAUGGCAUUCCGUGGAGCAUGCCUGUUUGAGUGCCGCGAAAUCUCCCACCCCUAGCGGUUGCCGCAAGGCGCCGCCGGGCGGCGGGGUUGGUUGGGUGCCGCUGCCUGGGCUUUGGCCCAGGCUCGCCCGAAAUGCAUGAGCGCUUAGCACUCGCACCGUCUCGAGGGAAGGCGGCGGAGCUGGCAUCUGCGCAUGGCAUGAUACGUCAUUUGCUGUGUGGCAGCCCAGCGACCCGAGAGUGUGUGUGCGCUACUACACGCCCUUUCAUUUCUGGUCUCAAAUCAGGUAGGAUCACCCGCUGAGCUUAAGCAUAUCAAUAAGCGGAGGAA
rnacentral:rRNA from 1 species